AUUGAACGCUGGCGGCAUGCUUUACACAUGCAAGUCGAGCGGCGGCGCGGGGGCAACCCUGGCGGCGAGCGGCGAACGGGUGAGUAAUGCAUCGGAACGUAUCCUCGAGUGGGGGAUAACCCAGCGAAAGUUGGGCUAAUACCGCAUGAGGUCUGAGGAGGACAGCGGGGGAGCUGCGAGGGCCUCGCGCUGGAGGAUCGGCCGAUGUCCGAUUAGCUAGUUGGUGGGGUAAAGGCUUACCAAGGCGACGAUCGGUAGCUGGCCUGAGAGGAUGAUCAGCGGCACUGGAAGUGAGACACGCCCCCUGCGACUGCGGGAGGGACCAGUCGCGAACGGUGGGCAAUGGGGGCAAACCUGGUCCAGCGGUGCCAAGCCAGUGACGACGGCCCUCGGGUUGUGAAGCCCGCCUGCGCGGUGCAAACCUCGCGGGACAAAGAAGACAGGAUGAUGACGGUACCGUAAGAAGAAGCACCGGCUAACUACGUG
rnacentral:rRNA from 1 species